GACAGAGGAUGCAAGCGUUGUCCGGAAUUAUUGGGCGUAAAGAGCUCGUAGGCGGUUUGUCGCGUCUGCUGUGAAAUCCCGAGGCUCAACCUCGGGCUUGCAGUGGGUACGGGCAGACUAGAGUGCGGUAGGGGAGACUGGAAUUCCUGGUGUAGCGGUGGAAUGCGCAGAUAUCAGGAGGAACACCGAUGGCGAAGGCAGGUCUCUGGGCCGCAACUGACGCUGGAGGAGCGAAAGCAUGGGGAGCGAACAGG
rnacentral:rRNA from 1 species